GAUGAACGCUGGCGGCGUGCUUAACACAUGCAAGUCGAACGGAAAGGCUCCUGCUUGCAGGGGUACUCGAGUGGCGAACGGGUGAGUAACACGUGGGUGAUCUGCCCUGCACUUCGGGUUAAGCCUGGGAAACUGGGUCUAAUACCGGAUAGGACCAUCGUUUAGUGUCGGUGGUGGAAAGUUUUUUCGGUGUGGGAUGAGCUCGCGGCCUAUCAGCUUGUUGGUGGGGUAAUGGCCUACCAAGGCGUCGACGGGUAGCCGGCCUGAGAGGGUGUACGGCCACAUUGGGACUGAGAUACGGCCCAGACUCCUACGGGAGGCAGCAGUGGGGAAUAUUGCACAAUGGGCGCAAGCCUGAUGCAGCGACGCCGCGUGGGGGAUGACGGCCUUCGGGUUGUAAACUCCUUUCGCCAGGGACGAAGCGAAAGUGACGGUACCUGGAUAAGAAGCACCGGCUAACUACGUG
rnacentral:rRNA from 1 species